UACCAGCUAAGGAUUGAUGUGCUUUUGAGGUACUCUUCCAUUCCAUGCAGGGGGGAUGCAGUAGGGGGUGAAAAUAAUCUAUACUAUAUACUCCUACUUAGCAUUAUUUUUCUGUCAACUUAAUGCUAUUUUAUGAAUAUUUGACAGGAUUCUAAUGAUGUUCAGACUAAAUUAGACUAUUUGUAAUGUAAUUUUCACAAAUUUUGAACCAAUGCAUUAAAAAGGUGUUGCCUAUACUGAAUUAGGUAUUGAAGAUGUUUUCUUGUGUAUGUGUGUUUCAGUGCGAACUCGGAUCCGUUGCUGCUCCAAACCAGACAAUUCGGAGGAGGAACGCGAGUCUCCCUGCGAUGCCAAGGUUGGCGCUGUUCUUUCAGUUGUCUCUGUUUCAAACCAUACAAUUCAUUUAGGCAAAUACUGGAGACACUGUCAUUCAUACUGUAUUUGGCAUGGUAGUGGACAGUCAGAACCUUACGGUUUCGCAACAUCCUCAGAAUAAAUAUUCUGCUCAAAUCAGGUUCUGCGUAUAUCCUGUUAUUCAUCUCAGAAACGAGGAUUUCAUAUUACACAAGUGAAGAAUCCUUGAGAAAUGUUUAUGGCAAAUGUCAACCGUAAGUCUGCAUGAGACAUAAGUGAUCCCCAAGUGGUGAAUAGUGCCAUUCUACAAAAUAAGAUCUCUGCAGAACAAAAAGGGCCCUGAACAAUUUCUGGAAUUUUUGUGUUCCUUUAUUUGUUACUCCUCUAAACUACAUCAAUUUUUUCCAGGCUCGUUGCUUUCAAGUCUGAUGCGCGUGUUUUUUCUCAUAUAUAUAGGAAGAAGAAAGUAUGCGCUCCAGACGAAGAUGUCUAGCUUGCCUGUGUGCUGUAACAUUAAUGAGUGCGUUGGGCCCAACGUUUUCUGUCAUCGGAACCUUGAUGAUUUUGUUGGAAAUAUGCCCUAGAGGCAAUAAUAAAUUAGUUAUUAUUAUAUAUCCUUGUUCAUGAUAAUCGUU
rnacentral:lncRNA from 1 species